UACGAAGGGGGCUAGCGUUGUUCGGAAUUACUGGGCGUAAAGCGCAUGUAGGCGGAUAUUUAAGUCAGGGGUGAAAUCCCGCAGCUCAACUGCGGAACUGCCUUUGAUACUGGGUAUCUUGAGUAUGGAAGAGGUGAGUGGAAUUCCGAGUGUAGAGGUGAAAUUCGUAGAUAUUCGGAGGAACACCAGUGGCGAAGGCGGCUCACUGGUCCAUUACUGACGCUGAGAAGCGAAAGCAUGGGGAGCAAACAGG
rnacentral:rRNA from 1 species